rnacentral:rRNA from 1 species
AGAGUUUGAUCAUGGCUCAGAGCGAACGCUGGCGGCGCGUUUUAAGCAUGCAAGUCGAACGGUAGAGAAGCUUCGGUUUCUUGAGAGUGGCGAACGGGUGAGUAACACGUAGAUGAUCUGCCUUGAAGUUGGGGAUAGCCCAUAGAAAUAUGGGGUAAUACCGGAUAAUCUCUUACGAUUUUGAUUGUUUGAGGAAAGGGGCUUCGGCCUCGCUUUAAGAUGAGUCUGCGGCUUAUUAGCUAGUUGGUAGGGUAAUGGCCUACCAAGGCGACGAUAAGUAGCCGGCCUGAGAGGGUGACCGGCCACAUUGGGACUGAGACACGGCCCAAACUCCUACGGGAGGCAGCAGCUAAGAAUCUUCCGCAAUGGGCGCAAGCCUGACGGAGCGACGCCGCGUGGACGAAGAAUGCCGAGAGGUUGUAAAGUCCUUUUAUAUGCGAAGAAUAAUAUCUAUAGGAAAUGAUAGAUAGAUGACGUUAGCUUAUGAAUAAGCUCCGGCCAAUUACGUGCCAGCAGCCGCGGUAACACGUAAGGAGCGAGCGUUGUUCGGAAUUAUUGGGCGUAAAGGGCAUGUAGGCGGUUAUAUAAGUCUGAUGUGAAAUCCCACAGCUUAACUGUGGAUCCGCAUUGGAAACUGUAUGACUUGAAUCAGUAAGGGGUAACCGGAAUUCCUAGUGUAGGGGUGAAAUCUGUUGAUAUU